ACGAGCAUAGCUCAACUGGUAGAGUGACGGUCUCCAAAACCGUAGGUUGCGGGUUCGAUUCCUGCUGCUCGUG
rnacentral:tRNA from 1 species